CAAACCCCCUCGAUUCCCCUUCGAUCCACUUCUCCCCACGCGGUUCAGAACCCUCGAGGCUCGAGGAUUUGGCCGCCCGACACUCGCCAAGACGCCGCCGCCGACUCCUCCCCAAGACUACGCGCCGCUCGACGCCGGCGAUCUCCUCCGGCGUACUGGACUUCUCCCCGGUGAUAUGUUCUUAUUUUGACAGCCUGCCGCUCCGAUUCUUGGGAUCCAGUUGUCACGCCUAAUUUCGGUUCUCAAGCACCAAAAGAAGGCACAAUAAACAAGCCGAAUGGAUAAAUUUCUCCCAGGUUCUCAAUGCUAGAUGACCAUGACACCAAAAGAUGGAUACAUUUGUUUGCAUUAUCUUUGUUGCAAAAUGAUGUUGUGGCUGUGAUGAACUGUUUGCUGCGGAAGAUUAUGUUGUUAUGAUAAAUUAUGAAUGCUGGGAUUUGGGAUUCAAAGUCAUCCUGUUAUGAUAAAUUAUGUUGUUGCUGUGA